rnacentral:rRNA from 1 species
UACAGAGGGUGCAAGCGUUGUUCGGAAUCACUGGGCGUAAAGCGCGCGCAGGCGGGACGGCAAGUCGGGAGUGAAAUUCCGGGGCUCAACUCCGGAACUGCUUUCGAAACUGCCGACCUGGGGACCGGUAGAGGCUGGUAGAAUUCCCGGUGUAGCGGUGGAAUGCGUAGAUAUCGGGAAGAAUACCCGUGGCGAAGGCGGCCAGCUGGGCCGGAUCCGACGCUGAGGCGCGAAAGCGUGGGGAGCAAAC